AUACGUAGGGUGCGAGCGUUAAUCGGAAUUACUGGGCGUAAAGCGUGCGCAGGUGGUUUUGUAAGUCAGAUGUGAAAUCCCCGGGCUUAACCUGGGAACUGCGUUUGAAACUGCAAGGCUAGAGUGUGGCAGAGGGGGGUGGAAUUCCGCGUGUAGCAGUGAAAUGCGUAGAGAUGUGGAGGAACACCGAUGGCGAAGGCAGCCCCCUGGGUCAACACUGACGCUCAGGCACGAAAGCGUGGGGAGCAAACAGGAUUAGAUACCCCUGUAGUCC
rnacentral:rRNA from 1 species